UACCAGCACCCCGAGUGGUCGGGACGAUUAUUGGGCCUAAAGCAUCCGUAGCCGGUUCUGCAAGUCCCCCGUUAAAUCCAGCUGCUCAACAGAUGGGCCGCGGAGGAUACUACAGAGCUAGGAGGCAGGAGAGGCAAGCGGUACUCAGUGGGUAGGGGUAAAAUCCGUUGAUCCAUUGAAGACCACCAGUGGCGAAGGCGGCUUGCCAGAAUGCGCUCGACGGUGAGGGAGUGAAAGCUGGGGGAGCAACCGG
rnacentral:rRNA from 1 species